GCAGCAGAAUAUUGCAAUACGUAAUUUGUUUAAAAGCUAUGAAUUACAAUCAGAAAUAUAUUAAACAAUUACAUUCAAUAGAUGGUGCAAAAGACAGCAAAAAUAUGCAGUCCAAAUGAAAUUGUCAUUACAUCAAUGUGCAGAAUCAUUUCCACGUUAGUCGGCAGACUUAAAGAGCAGCGUUUGUCUCAUUCCAACCCUAAAGUCCGUAAUUUAUCGUUUUGUUAAAUGUGACCGGGAGCUCACGCUCAGGACAUGGAGACGUGGCGUGGCAGCUGUUCCGCCGGCAGCCGCAGCCUGAUUCAUUGCAUUUAAAAUGCAGUCCAGGAAGCUGGUUUCACAAACAACAGCCUACAAAAGGCAGGAGCAAACAGCGCUGAUGCAUUUGGAGCAUCUGGGGGAAAUGCCUUUACAGUUACGGCAUUGAAAGCGCGGAGAGCACAGACUUCAGUGGGUGUGCGGCGCUGCUCUGUUUCCAGAGAUCGGGGUAGAAGACAGAUCAUACAUCUGAAGAAAAGUCUUUUUUCACUGUCCGAGGAUGGCUUGUCUGACUUCAACAGAAACCGCUCAGGGGCACGUGCCAUACCUGCCAUAACUUAGAUACGCCUCUGCGUGUACGAGGGGUUCGUGGUCAACACACACUGUGAAAUGGCAGCCCUCUAGAAGAAAACGUAAAUGGCGGACAGCCAGAUGGAGACUGAGAAGCUGACGGACAAACCUGCUGUCGUUCAUUCGGGGAGAUGGAGUUACCGGCGCAGAAGGCGAGCGGAUGCCACACGCCUUCGACCAACUGUUGGUGCACAGCACCCACAGGGUGGUCUGAAGUGGCAGUAGUCAUAGCUCCAGAUGCUGCCUGGCCUGCUGUGUUCCACCAGCAUUUUGUGUGUGUUGAUUGAAAAACUCGUUUUGUGUGAGCAUUGCUGCAUGGAAUGGAGAAGAUAUAAGCACUCACCUUCUUCAGGGGCUUGAAACAAGAACAAAGAAGUCAACCACUCUGCACUGCGGCAGCGGCCGUGGACAGACUGAUCCUCUCGGACGUGCUGACGUGACUCGUACACUGCGCAUCAGCAGUGUUGACAACGGCAACUACAUAAAAUAAAAAUACGUUAAGGGUUGUUAUAGGUUUCAGUUCCCACUGUUUUAAGUAUAGCUGAGGUAAUUUAUAUAAGUUUUUUAGUCAGACCCAAAAAAGGACAAAUUAACAUCUGGCUCGAGGUGGCGCCGGACAGAGGACAGGGUGGGCGCUGGACAGAGGACAGGGUGGGCGCCGGACAGAGGACAGGGUGGGCGCCGGACAGAGGACAGGGUGUGCAAAAGCCGGACAGUCCGGCCUAAAGCCGGAUGUCUGGUCUCCCUACAUGUACCACCAGCAAAUGUCCCGUGAGGAUAUUUGUUCCCAUCCAGUUCAGAUGCAAACAUUCUUGUUUGUACAGCUCUUGUCUACCCUGGAACACAGACCAAUGAUUCAUAAGUCUGAAGACCUCCCUUCUGCACCAGCUCCUUCACCAUAUAUUGAACUUCACCAUGUAUCACCACUGCCCUGACUGCCAUUUUCUUUAUGCUAAGUCAAAGGUCACAAGCCGACACAAAAAUUAAAACCUUAGCAGUUCUUACCUGUUACUCACCUGUCCCUUCUUGAUGAAGCCUCUUGAGCCAAAGGCUCAGCUUUCAAAUUUCACACUGGCCACAGUCAGAAUGACCACUCCAAAAUGGCCACUCCACUUUACCAUGCCCUUUAUUGCCUGAAGUGCCAGGCACUUAGCCAAUAAUAUGUAUUUUUUAAGUUUUAAUACCUGCAGGCUCCUCCCCUCUGCUGUUCCAGCUGCUGCAAAUGUUUUAGGCAGUGAACUUUCAAGAGAUUAAUCAGGUGAUCAAAAUCAAAGUAUUCAAAUUUACAUUUAUUAUCAAAAAAUGUAUAAACUAUACAACCCUAACCCAUGAGAGAUUUCAGUAGAGUACAGGACAGGUUUUGUCUAAUGGCAGAGUGGUCGGUAACUAGAAGCAGCAUUCAUGGUAAUUAGUGAAAACUGGGGGGACGAGGAUAUAUUUGUAUGCCAGGUAACUUGGAAUGAAAAUCAGUACUGGCGUAAUUUCCAAUACUACAGUGUCAUCCAUCCAGUAAUUUGAUGAUUUUCCCAGCAAUAAGGAAAAUUAAGAAAACAAGUCCACAAAGUGAACCAAACAAAGAGCAAGAAUUAAAAACUCUCCUCCUGUUGUGCUGCAGAUUGGAGUCAGUGCAGGGCAAAUAAAUUAGACAGGAUGCACCCAGACCCAAAGGCCCUAGACAGACUGACUUCCAGCAGGAAAUCUCCUCAUUGGAAUUCAGAAUGACUAAUUUUUAUUUUGCAACAAAUCCGAUUGAAUUCUGAAUGUUGUGAUGAGUACACAAGCAUUUUUUAUAUCGUAUAGAUAAAUGUACAGAGAGAUGUAACCCUCUCCUUUCCACAAGCUGGGCCAAACUCCAUGAACCAGGGCCUCCUCUCCAAACAGCAGAAAUACCUGCUGCUUGCUCUCAGUGUGGUACAAGUUGUUUUAUAAACUGUGUAAUUGAUGCCAGGAAUGAGAUUUUUCUACCACAGGGAAGUUGAUAAACUCUAUUCCUGACAUCAAUCACCUUUUGUGUAAGUUGUCCUCCUUCUGUCAUUUGGUUAUUUAAUGAAAUGUUUAUAGCUAAAAAACAAAGCCUUAUUUGAGUAUCUGUUGCUGAUUCCCCAGCCUUCAGUUCCCACUCUGGGGGAUGCCAGCUCCCAAUUGACAUUGUAAGGCUCACACACCUUCUCCCAUGUCCCAGUACACACAUCUUCUCCUCCGUCUCAGUCCGCACACUUGCUCCCAUAUCUCAGUCCGCACACCUUCUCCCAUAUCCCAAUCCACACACCUUCUCCCAUGUCCCAGUACACACAUCUUCUCCUCCGUCUCAGUCCGCACACUUGCUCCCAUAUCCCAGUCCACACACCUUCUCCUGUAUCCCAAUGAGCACACUUUCUCCCAUAUCCCAAUCCACACACCUCAUCUUCUUUGGAAAGUGCCAGCUUAUCUUCCAAGUGACAAAGACCAGCGUGCCUAAAUCUGGUUGAGCAGAGACUUACUUUGUUUGCCUCCGAUCUUCCUCUCUCACAGGGUCUGAAAUGCCUUGAGCAUUCGUUCUCCAGGACAGUCGUAAGUGUGGUGACAGUAGGCUGAUGAGCACAAUCGAGGCAGACUUCACCCACUACAACCCAACCCAGGUCAAGUCAUGGGGCAUACGUUGCAUUGUGCCGACCAUUGCACUCUUCAUGUACCUCAUGUGCAUGGACUGAAGGUGUUAAUUUUUAACGUGUGCAGUAUGUGGAAUAGGUAGAUGAACUUGCAGCACAGUUACAGAUUGGCAGGUAUGAUGUCGUGGGCAUGACUGAAUGAUGGUUGAAAGAAGAUCACAGCUGAGAGCUUAAUGUCCGAGGAGACACAUUGCAUCGGAAGGAAGGCAGAGCAGGCGGUGUUGCUUUGUUGGUAAAAAAUGAAAUCAAAUCAUUAGAAAGGGGUGACAUAGGGUUGGAAGGUGUCGGAAGAGCUAAGGGAGUGCAAGUGUAAAAAGACCCUGACUGAGGAUGGAAGACGGGAUAGUGGUGUAAGGGAUGUUUUCAAACUGGAGGUCUGUGAUUAGUGGAGUUCCACAGGGACCUGUGCUGGGACCUCUGCUGUUUGUCAUGUAUGAAAUGACCUGGAUGGAAAUGUAGAUGGGUGGGGAGGUUGGUAAGUUUGUAGAUGUUUGUCGUCUGAGUGGACAGAGUCAGAAUGGUGAUCUUAACGCUUUUGCUAUCAGAAGUCCAGCGAAGGGGAGCUCCAGUCAGAGAAAGCGAAAAAGGAAUAAAAUCUCUCAGUUUCAUUCUCUCAAGUUCUUGUUUUCAUUGCCUUCCCUUCUUUAUAUCUGCUCAGUUAGGGCAGUAGAGAUGGGAGGCAACAUAGUUGAAUGCUCCUCUUGUGGAUGUGGCGAAGGCAGGGAGACCUACAACUGUGGGAAAUGCAUCCAGCUCCAGCUUCCAACAAUCCACAUUAAGGAGUUGGAGCUGGAACUGGAUGAACUCCGGAUCAUUUGGGAGGUUAAAGGGGUGAUAGAUAAGACAUAUAGAGAGGCAGUUACACUCAAGGUGCAGGACAUGGGAAAUUGGAAGGGGAAGGGUGUGAAGGAGCCAGUGCAGAGUACCCCAGUGGCCAUCCCAAUCAACAACAGGUCUAUCACUUUGGAUACUGUCGGGGGAUGACCUAACAGAGGAAAGUCACAGUGGUCAGAUCUCUAGCACUGAGCCUGGCUCUGACUGAGAAGGGAAUGGGAGAGAAGAGGCACCCUGUGGUGAUAGGGGAUUCAUUAGCUAGGAAUGAACAGCAGGUUCUGUGAGCAAGAACGAGAUUCCCGAAUGGUAUGCUGCCUCCCAGGGGCCAGGCUCCGUCUCACCUUGGAUCGAGUAUUCGGCAUUCUUGUGUGGGAGGGUGAACAGCUAGAGGUCGUGGUCCAUGUAGGUACCGAUGACAUGGGUAGGAGAAGUGAUGAGGUUUUCAUAGAGAGUUCAGGGAGUUGGGUGCUAAGUUAAAGGGCAGGACCUCCAGAAUUUGAUCUCAGGAUGGCUACCCGUGCCAUGUGCUAGUGAGGCCAGAACUCUGAAGAUUACAUAUGGCGAAGGAGUUGCUGUAGGCUCUCUUCCAGGGAAAAUGGGACCUGUACAGAACGGAGGGCUUACACCUGAACUGGAGGGGACUAAUAUCCCAGUGGGAAGUUUUGUUAAUGCUGCAUGGUGGGGUUUGAACUAGAGUUGCAGGGGGAUGGGAAUCAGAGUGCCAGAAGUUAGUGGACAGGUUGUGGAGGCAGAUGUUGGUAAGACCUCAGACAAAGUCAGGAAUCUAAAGGUUGAACAUGGUGCGACUAUUGUCCUGAGCUGUGUAUAUUUCAAUGCAGGAAGUAUCGUAGGAAAGGCAGAUGAGCUCAGGGCAGAUUCCAGGAUCAACACCUGGAAUUAUGACGUUGUAGCCAUUAGUGAGACUUGGUUGUAGGAGGGGUAGGACUGGCAGCUCAGUAUUCCGGGAUUCUGUUGUUUUAGACGUGACAGAGUGGGAGGGAUUAAAGCGGGAGGGGUGGUGUUACUAGUCAGGGGAAAUGUCACGACAGAGAUUCAUCAGGACAGACCGGAGAACACGACUAGUGAGGUGUUAUGUGUGGAACUGAGAAAUAAGAAAGGUAUGACCUCGUUAAUGGGAUAUGUUACAGACCACCCAACGCUCUUAGGGUUUUAGAGGAACAAAUCUGUAAAGGGAUCGCAGACUGUUGCAAGAAACAUAGGGUUUCUAUCGUAGGUGGUUUUACCUUUCCACAUAUUGAUUGGGAUUCUAAUACUGCAAAAGGACCAGAUGUCAAAUGUGUUCAGGAAAAUUUCCUUCAUCAGCUUGUAGAAUUUUCAACAAGGGUGUGUACGAUACUGGAUCAGCUGUUAGGGAAUGAGGCAGGACCGCUGACAGAUGCUUGUGUAGGGAAAUAUUUUGCAUCUAGUGGCCACUGAUACGUACCCCAUAACUGGGUUGCCAAACCAGCAGAAAUGGAUCACUCAGUUGGAGUCUGGAGUACUAGAACUAAGAAAGUUUUAUUAAAGAAACAAGCAACACAGUAAUCGAAAGGAUAAUAAAUGCAACAGUUUAGCAAUGAUAAACACACAUGUGCACAGAAUUAAGAUAACAGCAUCAAUCAAGCUCUAUCGUUGUCUUGGGGUAAAUGACCAAAUUUCAAAGUGACUCAAAGUUCAGUCCAGUUUAGUAGUCAAGUUCGCAGUAAUCGUUGCCAUGACGAUGGACAACGUGGAGGGAGAGAGAGAGAGAACAGGAACAACUGAUCAUUCAGACACGGCUUCACUCACUGACCGGCGAUACGGCUCACAAGCAGCUUUUGGGCAGGUCCUUGGUGAUGUCACCUGAGGUCACCGACUGUGACCCCUCCUCCAGAUGCGGUCGAUCCUCUGCAGUGAACCCGGCACCCAGGCAAGGGCGGACACACACCAGGUUCCCGCUGAUCGUACCUUUCCACCCUGGCCGUUGUCUGAUACUUCCCACCGACUCGUGAGAGGCGCACCGCUUCCAGGGUCCCGUUACCUCGGGUGGCGUGUGUGUUUUCCCUUAGCGAACCGGCCCCUUUUUAUCCCCCUGCUGGGGUAUCGCCUGUCCAUCACUUCAAACAGUUCAAGGUUCAAAGGGGGGAGCCGCUCCAGACAGCUCUCUCUCCCCCGUCCCUUCAUUACACAUCUCCAGACGCUGCUCCAUUGUUCCUUAUCUCUCCUUCCCCUGAGGGCAGGUGGCAGACCACUUGCUGAUGUCACUGAUGCUAACCCAGGCCAGCAAACAUCUUAAUUUUAUGUGUAUUCUCAUCUCACCACAAUGCCACUAGUUUCAAAGUAAAUAUGCAAAAAGAUAGGUCUGGGCCAUGGCUUGAUAUUCUAAAUUGGAGAAAGGCCAGUUUUGAUGGUAUCAGAACUGAUCUGGCAAGUGUAGUUUGGGACAGGCUGUUUUCUGGCAAAUGUCUACUUGGAAAGUGGGAGGCCUUCAAAAAUGACAUUUUGAGAUUACAAAGCCUGUAUGUGCUGUCAGAAUAAAAGGUAAAAAGAAACAGGUAUAGGGAACCUUGAUUUUCAAGCGACAUUGAGGCUCUGGUUAAGAUUUUAAAAAGGGAUGCAUAACAGGUAAACGCAAGUAGGAUCAAACAAAGUGCUUAUCGUGGACAAGAAAUGCAAGAGAACACUUCAGAAAGAAGUCAGGAAGGCUUAAAGAAGGCAUGACAUUGCUCUCACAGACAAAGUGAAGGAGAAUCCUAAGGAAUACUACAGAUAUGUGAGGGGCAAAAGGAUUGCAAGGGAGAAAUUGGUUCUCUGGAAGACCAGAAUGAUAAUCCUUGUGUGGAGUUAAAACAGAUGGAGGAGAUCUGAAAUGAAUUCUUUGCAUCUGUAUUUCUUCGGGAGGCUGAUACAGAGUUUAUGGAAGUGAGGCAAAGCAGCAUCAACUCAUGGACCCUGUACAGGUUGCAGAGGAAGAGGUGUUUGCUACCCUGAGAUAAGUCAGGGGGGAUAAAUCCCCAGGUGCUGACAAGGUAUUCCUCCAGACCCGAUGGGAGGCAAGUGUAGAAAUUCCUGGGGUCCUAAAGAGACAUUUAAAAUAUCUUUGUGACAGGAGAGGUACUGUUGGAUUGGAGGAUAGACAAUGUUAUUCUCCUGUUUAAAUAAAAGCUCGAAACUUAAACCAGGAAAUUAAAGGUCGGUCAGUCUGACAUCAGUUGUGAGAAAGUUAUUGGAAGGUGUUCUAAGGAACUGGAUGUAUAAUGUAUUUGGGUAGACAAGGACUGAUUAAGGAUAGUCAGCAUGGCUUCAUGUGUGGUAAGUCAUGUCCAGUCAAUUUUAUAGAAGUUACCAGGAAAGUGAAUGAAAGCAAGGCAGCAGAUGUUGUCUGUAUGGACUUGAGGAAGGCAUUUGACAAGGCCCUGAAUGGGAGGCUGGUCAAGAAGGUUCAGUCGCUCGGCAUUCAGGGUGAAUUAGUAAAUUGAAUUAGAGAUUGGCUUUGUGGGAGAAACCAGAGAGUAGUAGUAGAGUUCUGCCUCUCUGACUGGAGGCUUGUAACUAAUGGUGCGCUGCAGGAAUCAGGGCUGCAUUCUCUGUUGUUUGUCAUCUGUACCAAUGAUCUGGAUGAUAGUGUUGUUUAUUGGAUCAGCAAAUUUACAGAUGACACCUCGAUUGAUGGUGUUGUGGGUAGUGAGGUAGGCUAUCAUUGCUUGCAGAGGGAUCUGAUCAGCUGGAAGAAUGAGCUAAAAGACAGCAAAUGGAAUUUAAUGCAAACAAGUGUGAGAUUUUGCACUUCAGUAGAACCAAGCAGGGUCGGUCUUACACAGUGAACGGUCGGGUACUGAGGAUUGUGGUAGAACAAAAGGAUAUGGGAAUACAAGUCAAUAAUUCUUUCAAAGUGGCGUCACAGGUAGAUAGGGUUGUAAAGAAAUCUUUUGGCACAUUGCCUUCAUAAUCAGUGUAUUGAGUUCAGGGGAUGGGAUGUUAUGUUGAAGCUGUAUAAGAUGUUUGUUAGAUCUAAUUGGAGUAUUGUGCACAGUUUUGUUCACCUACCUACAGGAAAGAUUAAACAAGGUUGUAAGAGUGCAGAGAAAAUUUACAAGGAUGUUGCCAGGUCUGGAGGGCAUGAGUUCUGAGGAAAGAUUUAAUAGAUUGGGAUUGUAUUCUGUAGAACACAGUGGAUUGUGAGAUUUGAUAGAGCUACAGAAAGUUAUCACUGGCACAGAUCGGGUAAAUGCAAGCAGGCAUUUUCCACUGAGAUUGGGGGGACAACAACCAGAGGUUUUGGAAUAAGGUUGAAAGGUGAGAAGUUUGAGGGGAACGUGAGGGGAAACUUCUUCACUCAGAGGGUCGUGAGUGUGGAGUGAGCUGCCAGCACAAGUGGUUCAUGUGAGCUUGAUUCCAAUAUUGAAGAGAAGUUUGGAUAUGUCCUUGGAUAGUAGGGAUACGGAGGGCUAUGGUCCCAGUGCAGGUCAAUGGGAAUAGGCAGUUUUAAUGUUUUCACCACGGACUAAAUGGGCUGAAGGGCCUGUUUAUGUGCUGUGCUUCUCUAUGAUUUGAUGAUACCAAGAUUGGUGGAGUUGUGGAGAGUGUAGAUUACUGUAGACCAGUUGCAGAUAUGGGCUGAGAAAUGGCAGAUGGAGCUUAACCCAGAUAAAUGUGAGGUUGUGUGCCUCGGUAUGGCAAAUGCAAGGAGACAGUUCUCUGUUCAGGGCAAGGUCCUUGACAGUGUUGCUGAGCAGAGAGAUCUUGGGAUCCAAGUUCAUAGAUCCUUGAAAGUGUCUGCACCGAUCGAUCAGGUAGUUAAAAAGGCUUAUUGAAUGCUUGCUUUUAUUAGUCGAGGCAUUGAUUUCAAAGGACAGGAGGUUAUGUUGCAACACACAUCAAAGUUGCUGGUGAACGCAGCAGGCCAGGCAGCAUCUCUAGGAAGAGAUACAGUCGAUGUUUCAGGCCGAGACCCUUCGUCAGG